UACGUAGGGUGCUAGCGUUGUUCGGAUUUACUGGGCGUAAAGCGCACGUAGGCGGAUCGAUCAGUCAGGGGUGAAAUCCCAGAGCUCAACUCUGGAACUGCCUUUGAUACUGUCGAUCUGGAGUAUGGAAGAGGUGAGUGGAAUUCCGAGUGUAGAGGUGAAAUUCGUAGAUAUUCGGAGGAACACCAGUGGCGAAGGCGGCUCACUGGUCCAUUACUGACGCUGAGGUGCGAAAGCGUGGGGAGCAAACAGG
rnacentral:rRNA from 1 species